GCGAGGCGAGGCCUACGGAGCGGAGGAAGACACUUAAAGAUGAAGUGCUUAAUUCAAGGUCACAGAAUGUCGGGGAUGGACCUCCAGAUUUCCUUACUGACCUGCAUUAUCUUGUGGAUACCUGAGUGAAUUCCACACCACCCAUUUUAUAGAUGAAGCCACUGAGACGUGGAGCAACUGACUGAGUAGUCACUGCCCCACCCCUGCCUGGAGCCUCACACAUGACUUCUCUUAGUGACCACAGGUUGGUUGAGGGGUUUAACAAGGCUAAGAAGGUGAGACGUGGUCUUGUAACACAGUGGUUAAGAAUGUGACUUUGGAGCCAGCCUGCUAGGGGCUGAAUUCUGACUCAGCCAUUUAUUAACUGUGUGACCUUAGGUAGGUUCCCAAGCCUGUAAAAUGUAAGUCUUAUGUUGCUGAGGGCCAUCUUGCCACCCCGAGGGGAACGCUGCCUGAGAAUGAAACCAGCAUAAGUAAAAGCUGAGCUGUGAGAUGGAGUGAGAUGAAGGCCACAUGACAUCUUUGGAGCACCUGGAUCUAACUGUGCCUUAAGCUAGUCUAACCCUGAACAUUUCAUUGACAUGGGCCCAGGUUUUCCCUUUUUUUUUUUUUUUUUUUUGGAUGGAGUCUCACUCUGUCGCCCAGGCUGGAGUGCAGUGGUGCAAUCUCGGCUCACUGCAAGCUCCGCCUCCCGGGUUCACGCCAUUCUCCUGCCUUAGCCUCCCAAGUAGCUGGGACUACAGGCUCCCGCCACCACUCCCGGCUAAUUUUUUGUAUUUUUAGUAGAGACGGGGUUUCACCGUGUUAGCCGGGAUGGUCUUGAUCUCCUGACCUCAUGAUCCGCCCGCCUCGGCCUCCCAAAGUGCUGGGAUUACAGGCGUG
rnacentral:antisense_RNA from 1 species